rnacentral:rRNA from 1 species
GACGAACGCUGGCGGCGUGGAUUAGGCAUGCAAGUCGAACGGUAUCAUCCUUUCGGGGGUGAGAGAGUGGCGAACUGGUGAGUAACACGUAGGUUAUCUACCCUCAAGACGGGGACAACCCAGGGAAACUUGGGCUAAUACCGGAUGUGAGCAACUUUUAGUUGUUUGAAAGGUGGCGUAAGCUGUCGCUUGGGGAUGAGCCUGCGUCCUAUUAGUUAGUUGGUGAGGUAACGGCUCACCUAGGCAAUGAUAGGUAGGCGGCCUUAACGGGUGGUCGCCCACACUGGGAUUGAGAUACGGGCCCAGACUCCUACGGGAGGCAGCAGUCGAGAAUAGUCUACAAUGGUCGGAAGACUGAUAGUGCGACGCCGCGUGAACGAUGAAUCCCUUCGGGGUGUAAAGUUCUUUUAUAUGUGAGCAGUGCUUCUUAUAUUAACAGUAUGGGGAGAGAGAUAUUAGCAUAUGAAUAAGCAACGGCUAACUCCGUGCCAGCAGCCGCGGUAAU